CUGCCGGGACGACCCGACAGGCUCAUCCUGAAGCGGUGGGGACGACCCUG
rnacentral:ncRNA from 1 species